rnacentral:rRNA from 1 species
UACGUAGGUGGCGAGCGUUGUCCGGAAUUACUGGGUGUAAAGCGCGUGUAGGCGGGAGGCCAAGUCUGUGGUGAAAUCGCUCGGCUUAACUGGGCGGGGUCCAUGGAAACUGGUCACCUGGAGGUCGGUAGAGGCAAGUGGAAUUCCCGGUGUAGUGGUGAAAUGCGUAGAGAUCGGGAGGAACACCAGUGGCGAAGGCGGGUGACGCUGGGCCGACACGUGACGCUGGAGGCGCGAAAGCGUGGGGAGCGAACAGG